UGCUGGAGGUAUCAGAAGUGCGAAUGCUGACAUAAGUAACGAUAAAGCGGGUGAAAAGCCCGCUCGCCGGAAGACCAAGGGUUCCUGUCCAACGUUAAUCGGGGCAGGGUGAGUCGACCCCUAAGGCGAGGCCGAAAGGCGUAGUCGAUGGGAAACAGGUUAAUAUUCCUGUACUUGGUGUUACUGCGAAGGGGGGACGGAGAAGGCUAUGUUGGCCGGGCGACGGUUGUCCCGGUUUAAGCGUGAAGGUGUGUGCUCCAGGCAAAUCCGGAGUGCUUUAACACUGAGGCGUGAUGACGAGGCACCACGGUGCUGAAGCAACAAAUGCCCUGCUUCCAGGAAAAGCCUCUAAGCUCCAGGUAACACGAAAUCGUACCCCAAACCGACACAGGUGGUCAGGUAGAGAAUACCAAGGCGCUUGAGAGAACUCGGGUGAAGGAACUAGGCAAAAUGGUGCCGUAACUUCGGGAGAAGGCACGCUGAUGCGUAGGUGAAGCGACCUGCUCGUGGAGCUGAAAUCAGUCGAAGAUACCAGCUGGCUGCAACUGUUUAUUAAAAACACAGCACUGUGCAAACACGAAAGUGGACGUAUACGGUGUGACGCCUGCCCGGUGCCGGAAGGUUAAUUGAUGGGGUUAUCCGUAAGGAGAAGCUCUUGAUCGAAGCCCCGGUAAACGGCGGCCGUAACUAUAACGGUCCUAAGGUAGCGAAAUUCCUUGUCGGGUAAGUUCCGACCUGCACGAAUGGCGUAAUGAUGGCCAGGCUGUCUCCACCCGAGACUCAGUGAAAUUGAACUCGCUGUGAAGAUGCAGUGUACCCGCGGCAAGACGGAAAGACCCCGUGAACCUUUACUAUAGCUUGACACUGAACAUUGAGCCUUGAUGUGUAGGAUAGGUGGGAGGCUUUGAAGCGUGGACGCCAGUCUGCGUGGAGCCAACCUUGAAAUACCACCCUUUAAUGUUUGAUGUUCUAACGUGGACCCGUAAACCGGGUUGCGGACAGUGUCUGGUGGGUAGUUUGACUGGGGCGGUCUCCUCCUAAAGCGUAACGGAGGAGCACGAAGGUCAGCUAAUCCUGGUCGGACAUCAGGAGGUUAGUGCAAUGGCAUAAGCUGGCUUGACUGCGAGCGUGACGGCGCGAGCAGGUGCGAAAGCAGGUCAUAGUGAUCCGGUGGUUCUGAAUGGAAGGGCCAUCGCUCAACGGAUAAAAGGUACUCCGGGGAUAACAGGCUGAUACCGCCCAAGAGUUCAUAUCGACGGCGGUGUUUGGCACCUCGAUGUCGGCUCAUCACAUCCUGGGGCUGAAGUAGGUCCCAAGGGUAUGGCUGUUCGCCAUUUAAAGUGGUACGCGAGCUGGGUUUAGAACGUCGUGAGACAGUUCGGUCCCUAUCUGCCGUGGGCGCUGGAGAACUGAGGGGGGCUGCUCCUAGUACGAGAGGACCGGAGUGGACGCAUCACUGGUGUUCGGGUUGUCAUGCCAAUGGCACUGCCCGGUAGCUAAAUGCGGAAGAGAUAAGUGCUGAAAGCAUCUAAGCACGAAACUUGCCCCGAGAUGAGUUCUCCCUGACCCUUUAAGGGUCCUGAAGGAACGUUGAAGACGACGACGUUGAUAGGCCGGGUGUGUAAGCGCAGCGAUGCGUUGAGCUAACCGGUACUAAUGAACCGUGAGGCUUAACCUU
rnacentral:rRNA from 1 species